GAAAUGCGAUAACUAGUGUGAAUUGUAGAAUUCCGUGAAUCAUCGAGUCUUUGAACGCACAUUGUGCCCCCUGGUAUUCCGGGGGGCAUGCCUGUCCGAGCGUCAUUGCUGCCCAUCAAGCACGGCUUGUGUGUUGGGUCGUCGUCCCCUCUCCGGGGGGGACGGGCCCCAAAGGCAGCGGCGGCACCGCGUCCGAUCCUCGAGCGUAUGGGGCUUUGUCACCCGCUCUGUAGGCCCGGCCGGCGCUUGCCGAACGCAAAUCAAUCUUUUUCCAGGUUGACCUCGGAUCAGGUAGGGAUACCCGCUGAACUUAAGC
rnacentral:misc_RNA from 1 species